rnacentral:tRNA from 1 species
CAUUUAGAAGCUUUCACGUAAGCGACAGCCUUUUAAGCUGUAAUCGGUAGCUGCAAUUACCCUUAAUGA